GACGAACGCUGGCGGCGUGCUUAACACAUGCAAGUCGAACGGAAAGGCCCUGCUUUUGUGGGGUGCUCGAGUGGCGAACGGGUGAGUAACACGUGAGUAACCUGCCCUUGACUUUGGGAUAACUUCAGGAAACUGGGGCUAAUACCGGAUAGGAGCUCCUGCUGCAUGGUGGGGGUUGGAAAGUUUCGGCGGUUGGGGAUGGACUCGCGGCUUAUCAGCUUGUUGGUGGGGUAGUGGCUUACCAAGGCUUUGACGGGUAGCCGGCCUGAGAGGGUGACCGGCCACAUUGGGACUGAGGUACGGACCAGACUCCUAUGGGAGGCAGCAGUGGGGAAUAUUGCACAAUGGGCGGAAGCCUGAUGCAGCAACGCCGCGUGCGGGAUGACGGCCUUCGGGUUGUAAACCGCUUUCGCCUGUGACGAAGCGUGAGUGACGGUAAUGGGUAAAGAAGCACCGGCUAACUACGUG
rnacentral:rRNA from 1 species